GGGCUUCAGGGUCCUGGUGAGCUACAGUUCAUUCAUCCUCUUUGUGCUCUCCUGUUUUUUUAAAUGCUCAAAUACUACAUUAUUUAAGAAUUAACUUUAAAGCGAAGGCAGUAGACAGUUAAAGGAGCCGACUCUGGGACCAGCUGUGUGUAGACCAGACCAGUUACUUAUAAGGAGGGGAACGAGAUCGGAUGACAGCCAAUCAUGAGAGCUAUCUCCUCAUGGCGAGCACCCAGAAUGACAUGGAAGACUGGGUGAAGUCCAUCCGCCGAGUCAUAUGGGGACCUUUUGGAGGAGGUAUUUUUGGACAGAAACUGGAGGACACGGUCCGAUAUGAGAAGAGAUACGGGAACCGGCUGGCGCCCAUGCUGGUGGAGCAGUGCGUGGAC
rnacentral:lncRNA from 1 species